CUACGUGCCAGCAGCCGCGGUAAUACGGGGGGUGCAAGCGUUAAUCGGAAUUACUGGGCGUAAAGCGCACGCAGGCGGUUUGUUAAGUCAGAUGUGAAAUCCCCGGGCUCAACCUGGGAACUGCAUUUGAAACUGGCAAGCUAGAGUCUCGUAGAGGGGGGUAGAAUUCCAGGUGUAGCGGUGAAAUGCGUAGAGAUCUGGAGGAAUACCGGUGGCGAAGGCGGCCCCCUGGACGAAGACUGACGCUCAGGUGCGAAAGCGUGGGGAGCAAACAGGAUUAGAUACCCUGGUAGUCCACGCUGUAAACGAUGUCGAUUUGGAGGUUGUGCCCUUGAGGCGUGGCUUCCGGAGCUAACGCGUUAAAUCGACCGCCUGGGGAGUACGGCCGCAAGGUUAAAACUCAAAUGAAUUGACGGGGGCCCGCACAAGCGGUGGAGCAUGUGGUUUAAUUCGAUGCAACGCGAAGAACCUUACCUACUCUUGACAUCCAGA
rnacentral:rRNA from 1 species